GAGCACGUAGGUGGGUUUGUUAGUCAGAUGUGAAAGCCUUUCGUUCAACGGAAGAAUUGCAUCUGAAACUACAAACCUUGAGUAUAGGAGGGGAGAGUGGAACUUCUGGUGGAGCGGUGAAAUGCGUAGAUAUCAGAAGGAACGCCGGCGGCGAAAGCGACUCUCUGGCCUAUAACUGACACUGAGUGUGCGAAAGCUAGGGGAGCAAACGGGAUUAGAUACCCCGGUAGUCCUAGCCGUAAACGAUGGGCACUAAGUAGGGGGAACUACCGAUGUUCUCUCUGCCGUAGCAAACGCAUUAAGUGCCCCGCCUGGGGAGUACGGCCGCAAGGCUAAAACUCAAAAGGAUUGACGGGGGCUCGCACAAGCGGUGGAGCAUGUGGCUUAAUUCGAUGCAACGCGAAAAACCUUACCGGGGCUUGACAUGAUAGAAGUAGGAACCCGAAAGGGGGACCAACGGUAUCCAGUCCGUAACUAUUGCAGGUGUUGCAUGGCCGUCGUCAGCUCGUGUCGUGAGACGUUGGGUUAAGUCCCCUAACGAGCGAAACCCUUGUUUUUAGUUACCAGCGGGUAAGCCGGGUACUCUAGAAAAGACUGCCGUCAUUAAGACGGAGGAAGGUGGGGAUGACGUCAAGUCAUCAAUGGCCCUUAUGCCCCCGGGCUGCACACGUGCUACAAUGGUCGGGUACAAAAAGGAAGCUAAGCCGAGAGGUGAAAGCGAAAUCC
rnacentral:rRNA from 1 species